UCCUACGGGGGGCAGCAGUAGGGAAUUUUCGUCAAUGGGCGCAAGCCUGAACGAGCAAUGCCGCGUGAACGAGGAAGGUCUUCGGAUCGUAAAGUUCUGUUGAAGGGGAAAAAGAGCGGAGAGAGGAAAUGGUCUCCGAUUGAUAUUACCCUUCGAGGAAGUCACGGCUAACUACGUGCCAGCAGCCGCGGUAAUACGUAGGCGGCGAGCGUUAUCCGGAAUGAUUGGGCGUAAAGGGUGCGUAGGCGGCCUGCUAAGUCUGGAGUGAAAGGUACCGGCUCAACCGGUACAGGCUCUGGAAACUG
rnacentral:rRNA from 1 species